GAUGAACGCUAGCUACAGGCUUAACACAUGCAAGUCGAGGGGCAGCAUGGUCAUUGGCUUGCCAAUGAUUGAUGGCGACCGGCGCACGGGUGCGUAACGCGUAUCCAACCUUCCCGUUACUCUUGGAUAGCCCUCCGAAAGGGGGAUUAAUACAGGAUGGUGUUCGAAUUCCGCAUGUUAUUCGAACUAAAGAUUCAUCGGUAACGGAUGGGGAUGCGUGACAUUAGGUAGAUGGCGGGGUAACGGCCCACCAUGCCUACGAUGUCUAGGGGUUCUGAGAGGAAGAUCCCCCACACUGGAACUGAGACACGGUCCAGACUCCUACGGGAGGCAGCAGUGAGGAAUAUUGGUCAAUGGUCGGGAGACUGAACCAGCCAAGUAGCGUGAAGGAUGAAGGUUCUAUGGAUUGUAAACUUCUUUUAAUACGGGAAUGACACCAUCUACGUGUAGAUGCCUGCAUGUACCGUAUGAAUAAGCAUCGGCUAACUCCG
rnacentral:rRNA from 1 species